rnacentral:rRNA from 1 species
CCGCCUACGGGAGGCAGCAGUGGGGAAUAUUGGACAAUGGGCGAAAGCCUGAUCCAGCAAUGCCGCGUGAGUGUAGAAGGCCUUAGGGUUGUAAAGCUCUUUCGCCUGCGACGAUGAUGACGGUAGCAGGAGAAGAAGCCCCGGCUAAUUCCGUGCCAGCAGCCGCGGUAAUACGGAAGGGGCUAGCGUUGUUCGGAAUCACUGGGCGUAAAGCGCGCGUAGGCGGCUUGGCAAGUGAGGCGUGAAAGUCCUGGGCUCAACCCGGGGACUGCGCUUCAGACUGCUUGGCUUGAGUCCGGAAGAGGGUGGUGGAAUUCCGAGUGUAGAGGUGAAAUUCGUAGAUAUUCGGAGGAACACCGGCGGCGAAGGCGGCCACCUGGUCCGGAACUGACGCUCAAGUGCGAAAGCGUGGGGAGCAAACAGGAUUAGAUACCCCAGUAGUC